UACGGAGGAUGCGAGCGUUAUCCGGAUUUAUUGGGUUUAAAGGGUGCGCAGGCGGCACGGCAAGCCGGCGGUCAAAUCGCGGGGCUCAACCCCGCCCAGCCGUCGGAACUGCCGGGCUAGAGUGGGCGAGAAGUGCGCGGAAUGCGUGGUGUAGCGGUGAAAUGCAUAGAUAUCACGCAGAACUCCGAUUGCGAAGGCCGCGCACCGGCGCCCUACUGACGCUCAGGCACGAAAGCGUGGGUAUCGAACAGG
rnacentral:rRNA from 1 species